rnacentral:rRNA from 1 species
CCCUUAGAUGUUCUGGGCCGCACGCGCGCUACAAUGAUGAAUUCAACGAGUUUAUAACCUUGGUUGAAAAGCCUGGGUAAUCUUUUGAACUUUCGUCGUGAUGGGGCUAGACCCUUGCAAUUAUUGGUCUCCAACGAGGAUUUCCUAGUAAACGCAAGUCAUCAGCUUGCAUUGAUUACGUCCCUGCCCUUUGUACACACCGCCCGUCGCACCUACCGAUUGAAUGGUCCGGUGAAAUCUUCGGAUUGAGACUUUGAUUUCUUCACGGAAAACGCUGUUUUAAAAAGUUGAUUAAACCUUACCAUUUAGAGGAAGGUGAAGUCGUAACA